AAAUUAUCUCUUUUCUGUGGCGCCUGGAAGGCAUAUAGCUGUUUCAAGAUGAAGCUGAACAUCUCCUUCCCAGCCACUGGCUGCCAGAAACUCAUUGAAGUGGAUGAUGAAUGUAAACUUCGUACUUUUUAUGAGAAGCGUAUGGCGACAGAAGUUGCCGCUGACGCUCUGGGUGAAGAAUGGAAGGGUUAUGUGGUCCGAAUCAGUGGUGGGAACGACAAACAAGGUUUCCCCAUGAAGCAGGGUGUCUUGACCCAUGGCCGUGUCCGCCUGCUACUGAGUAAGGGGCAUUCCUGUUACAGACCAAGGAGAACUGGAGAAAGAAAGAGAAAAUCAGUUCGUGGUUGCAUUGUGGAUGCUAAUCUGAGCGUUCUCAACUUGGUUAUUGUAAAAAAAGGAGAGAAGGAUAUUCCUGGACUGAUACCACCGUGCCUCGUCGCCUGGGGCCCAAAAGAGCUAGCAGAAUCUGCAAACUUUUCAAUCUCUCUAAAGAAGAUGACGUCCGCCAGUAUGUUGUAAGAAAGCUCUUAAACAAAGAAGGUAAGAAACCUAGGACCAAAGCACCCAAGAUUCAACGUCUUGUUACUCCACGUGUCCUGCAGCACAAACGGCGGCGUAUUGCUCUGAAGAAGCAGCGUACUAAGAAAAACAAGGAAGAGGCCGCAGAAUAUGCUAAAUUUUUGGCCAAGAGAAUGAAGGAGGCUAAAGAGAAGCGCCAGGAACAAAUUGUGAAGAGACACAGACUUUUGUCUCCGCAAGCUUCUACUUCUAAGUCUGAAUCCAGUCAGAAAUAAGAUUUUUUGAGUAACAAAUAAAUAAGAUCAGACUCAAAAAAAAAAAAAAUUAGCUGGGCGUGGUGUGCACUUGUAAUCCUAGCUACUCGGGAAGCCGAGACACGAGAAUUGUUUGAACUUGAUAGGUGGAAGGUUGCAGUGAGCUGAGAUCAUACCAUGCACUCCAGCCUGGGUGACAGCGCGACUCUGUCUCCAAACACACACACACAC